CCAUUUUUGAGAAAGUAAGUCAAAGAAUUCAAUUUUUCAUAAUUCAUAAGUACAGACAAGAAGAUAAAUACAAAUCCUCAAGCAUGAUUUAUGACCCCUCUGGUUUUCAUUGUUUCAGCAACAGCCAUAUCCAAUGGAAUAUUUAAAUUAUCAUUCAAAGAGAUAAUGUAAACUCAUGAUCUGAUGGGGCCAUGUUGAAUAAAUAAAAACUAAAAAAAUCCACAAGGUAUGGGUAUGGAAAUGAGCAAUCUCAAGAACAUUAAGAUAAUCAUUUUAAAUACAAAUAAUUAAAGUUGAUUUCUUUCCCUUUUCUGUAUCAAAGUUACUUGUUAGUUCUGGCUGAUUAGCUCUAAGAAACUUUCUUGUUACCUUAAAUUUGAAACUCUCAGAUCUUUUCUAAAAGCACUUUUUCAUAUUCCAUCAGUUAUUUACUUGUUUACUCUUCCUAUGUGUCUCAGGGUUUUGAAUCUUGGAUCCAUCUUUCUGUCUCUGUCUGUCUCUGUAUGCCCUUAAGAUGAUUACGCUAUUUUUCAUAGAAGCCCAUCUUGGGGAUCUACUAAGGGGCUGUGAUAUAUGUAUUUAAUUGUCGGUUCAAGAAUCUAGUUUUUACAAGGAAAUAUCUUUUCGGUUUUGGUUAAUUUAUGCAUAUUGUUGAGUUAAAUUGUUCUGUCUUUUGAUUUGAUUACUCCGAAAUACACAUCAAUGAAUUGGGCGUUUUUUAAUAUUUGGAGGGUGUAACCUAGCAAUUGAGUGUUUAGCAGCAUUAUUUUGAAUGUUCGAUGGUGUCACCUGGGUUUUUUCUUAUAUGUAUGCUCCAUUCUUUGAUGGCUUUAACCUAUGGAGCUCUAAUGAUGUUUUAUAGCAAUGAGGUUUUUGUUCUUAGCCAUGGUAAAGAACAUGCCAGCAAGCUUAUGGGUUCAACACUGUUGG
rnacentral:lncRNA from 1 species